UACGUAGGGUGCGAGCGUUGUCCGGAAUUAUUGGGCGUAAAGAGCUUGUAGGCGGUUUGUCGCGUCUGCCCGUGAAAAUCCGGGGCUCAACCCCGGACUGCGGUGGGUACGGGCAGACUAGAGUGUGGUAGGGGAGACUGGAAUUCCUGGUGUAGCGGUGAAAUGCGCAGAUAUCAGGAGGAACACCGGUGGCGAAGGCGGGUCUCUGGGCAACUACUGACGCUGAGGAGCGAAAGCGUGGGGGAGCGAACAGG
rnacentral:rRNA from 1 species